UUUUACGGAGAGUUUGAUCCUGGCUCAGGAUGAACGCUGGCGGCGUGCUUAACACAUGCAAGUCGAACGAUGACUUUUGUGCUUGCACAAAAUGAUUAGUGGCGAACGGGUGAGUAACACGUGAGUAACCUGCCCUUGACUCUGGGAUAAGCCUGGGAAACUGGGUCUAAUACUGGAUAUGCACCGUGAACCGCAUGGUUUUUGGUGGAAAGAUUUAUU
rnacentral:rRNA from 1 species